rnacentral:piRNA from 1 species
AAAGGGGUGUGGUGUUCUUUCUUUGUGGU